GAGCAUGUCUUUGGUGAGUAGGUGACUAACAUGGCCUGGGUUUCUCGUAGUUCUCUGAUUCUGAGUGUGCCCGGCGGGCCCUGGAACAGUUGAAUGGCUUUGAGCUUGCUGGUCGACCUAUGAGGGUUGGCCAUGUGACUGAGCGACUGGAUGGUGGCACAGACAUCACUUUUCCUGAUGGGGACCAGGAGCUGGAUCUGGGAUCAGCAGGUGGACGUUUGCAGCUCAUGGCAAAACUGGCAGAAGGCUCUGGAAUCCAACUGCCAACCACUGCUGCUGCUGCUGCUGCUGCUGCUGCCCAAGCUGCUGCCUUGCAACUGAAUGGAGCAGUUCCCUUGGGGGCCCUGAAUCCAGCAGCUCUGACUGCUCUGAGUCCAGCCCUGAACCUUGCCUCCCAGUGUUUCCAGCUCUCCAGCCUCUUUACCCCCCAGACCAUGUGAGUCUCAGGGUCUAGCUCAUUCCAGCCUUUGAUUAUUCUCUUUCCUUUGGCUUCCCAUUUACCUCUUCUUUCCACAGGUAAGUCAGUGGCACAGCAUACUGCCUUCUUGUGCCUCUGGAUCCUGCCACUUCACAUCUACUCUUCCAUCACCCCAUUUCUCCAUUUUGUGGACCAAGCCAUCCUGAGGGCAUGGACAUUGUCUCUGAGGAAAUUGGGGCCACCCUUAAGAUA
rnacentral:sRNA from 1 species